GCCCAGGUGGCGGAAUGGUAGACGCGCUAGCUUCAGGUGCUAGUUUCCGAAUGGAAGUGGAAGUUCGAGUCUUCUCCUGGGCACCA
rnacentral:tRNA from 1 species